CUGCACAAAACUACCACCAGAGAGGUAAACAAAUCAAUAGGUAAUACACACAUGCAUAGAGUUAAGAUGUAGAGAACAAUCUUGCAAUACCGCUUAAAUAAUUUUACACCCUAAAUUUCAGGUACAAGGAAAUGAAAGCACUAAAUUAGUAUACUGGGUAAGGGAACAAUAUCUUUAGGACUCUUAUUUCUUUAUUUGCAGCAGUAACAACAACAAAAUCUACCACGGAGAAAGAGUUCACAUGGGGUAGAUUUAAGCAUAAAUAAAUCAGUUUAUGAGAGUUGGUUAUGCUAUCAGCUGGUACAAAAGAGCAAGGUCUAAAGGUUUUAUACCAUGUUAAUAAAAGCCUGAACUUCUGUCAUGCAGAGUAUGAUGCUCUCUGUUUUACAGCUUUGAAUAGUUAAAGUAGCCUUUUAAACAAUUUUUCUAAACAGUUAAUUAUCAAAGGCAUAAAAUGGUAUAUGAAUCUACUCAAAACUGGUUUUCAUGUUUUUCUGGGAUUAAAACAAUUUUUAAAUAUCAUCUGAAAGAGCCCCCCCCCCCCAAAUGCUACUUUCUGUAACACAAUGGGAGAAAAACUCUCCUUGAGAUCAAAGUAGUCUAAAUCAAGUCCAUAAAUCUUGCACUUUCCUUGCCUACUGCGUCAACUAUGUCUGUUAAAAACACCACAGUAUGGUGAUAUUGCAGACAGGAAAGCUAUCAGUCACGAAGAAGUGGGCAAUACAUACCGCACCAUAGAAUCAGAGACUUUAAGGUCAGAAGGGACAAUUACGAUCAUCUAGUCUGACCUCCUGCACAACGCAGGCCACGGAAUCUCACCCACCAACUCCUGUAACAAAUCCCUAACUUAUGUCUGAGCUAAUGAAGUCCUCAAAUCGCAGUUUAAAAGACUUCAAGGUGCAGAAAAUCCUCCAA